AGAUUGAACGCUGGCGGCAGGCCUAACACAUGCAAGUCGAGCGGCAGCACGGGUACUUGUACCUGGUGGCGAGCGGCGGACGGGUGAGUAAUGCCUAGGAAUCUGCCUGGUAGUGGGGGAUAACGCUCGGAAACGGACGCCAAUACCGCAUACGUCCUACGGGAGAAAGCAGGGGACCUUCGGGCCUUGCGCUAUCAGAUGAGCCUAGGUCGGAUUAGCUAGUUGGUGAGGUAAUGGCUCACCAAGGCGACGAUCCGUAACUGGUCUGAGAGGAUGAUCAGUCACGCUGGAACUGAGACACGGUCCAGACUCCUACGGGAGGCAGCAGUGGGAAUAUUGGACAAUGGGCGAAAGCCUGAUCCAGCCAUGCCGCGUGUGUGAAGAAGGUCUUCGGAUUAGUAAAGCAACUUUAAGGUUGGGAGGUAAGGGCUAAGUUAACCGUAAUAACGUAAUCGUUGUUUUGAACGUUACCGAACUAAGAAAUAAGCAACCGGACUAACUCUGCG
rnacentral:rRNA from 1 species